GGUUAAGCGACUAAGCGUACACGGUGGAUGCCCUGGCAGUCAGAGGCGAUGAAGGGCGUGCUAAUCUGCGAUAAGCGCCGGUAAGGUGAUAUGAACCGUUAUAACCGGCGAUACCCGAAUGGGGAAACCCAGUGUGACUCGUCACACUAUCAUUAACUGAAUCCAUAGGUUAAUGAGGCGAACCGGGGGAACUGAAACAUCUAAGUACCCCGAGGAAAAGAAAUCAACCGAGAUUCCCCCAGUAGCGGCGAGCGAACGGGGAGGAGCCCAGAGCCUGAAUCAGCAUGUGUGUUAGUGGAAGCGUCUGGAAAGGCGCGCGAUACAGGGUGACAGCCCCGUACACAAAAGCGCAUGUGCUGUGAGCUCGAUGAGUAGGGCGGGACACGUGGUAUCCUGUCUGAAUAUGGGGGGACCAUCCUCCAAGGCUAAAUACUCCUGACUGACCGAUAGUGAACCAGUACCGUGAGGGAAAGGCGAAAAGAACCCCGGCGAGGGGAGUGAAAAAGAACCUGAAACCGUGUACGUACAAGCAGUGGGAGCCCCACCACUAAGCCAGUGGUGAACUCCACAUACGCAUCCUUUGCUGAGGAUACGGUUAACGGAGCGAAAGCGACGUUCAACCGCAAAAGAAGCAGAGGGGGCUUAGUGGUGGGGUGACUGCGUACCUUUUGUAUAAUGGGUCAGCGACUUAUAUUCUGUAGCAAGGUUAACCGCAUAGGGGAGCCGGAGGGAAACCGAGUCUUAACCGGGCGUUAAGUUGCAGGGUAUAGACCCGAAACCCGGUGAUCUAGCCAUGGGCAGGUUGAAGGUUGGGUAACACUAACUGGAGGACCGAACCGACUAAUGUUGAAAAAUUAGCGGAUGACCUGUGGCUGGGGGUGAAAGGCCAAUCAAACCGGGAGAUAGCUGGUUCUCCCCGAAAGCUAUUUAGGUAGCGCCUCGUGAAUUCAUCUCCGGGGGUAGAGCACUGUUUCGGCUAGGGGGCCAUCCCGGCUUACCAACCCGAUGCAAACUGCGAAUACCGGAGAAUGUUAUCACGGGAGACACACGGCGGGUGCUAACGUCCGUCGUGAAGAGGGAAACAACCCAGACCGCCAGCUAAGGUCCCAAAGUCAUGGUUAAGUGGGAAACGAUGUGGGAAGGCCCAGACAGCCAGGAUGUUGGCUUAGAAGCAGCCAUCAUUUAAAGAAAGCGUAAUAGCUCACUGGUCGAGUCGGCCUGCGCGGAAGAUGUAACGGGGCUAAACCAUGCACCGAAGCUGCGGCAGCGACGCUGAUGCGUUGUUGGGUAGGGGAGCGUUCUGUAAGCCUGCGAAGGUGGCCUGUGAGGGUUGCUGGAGGUAUCAGAAGUGCGAAUGCUGACAUAAGUAACGAUAAAGCGGGUGAAAAGCCCGCUCGCCGGAAGACCAAGGGUUCCUGUCCAACGUUAAUCGGGGCAGGGUGAGUCGACCCCUAAGGCGAGGCCGAAAGGCGUAGUCGAUGGGAAACGGGUUAAUAUUCCCGUACUUGGUGUUACUGCGAAGGGGGGACGGAGAAGGCUAUGUUGGCCGGGCGACGGUUGUCCCGGUUUAAGCGUGUAGGUGUGUGUUCCAGGUAAAUCCGGUU
rnacentral:rRNA from 1 species